rnacentral:lncRNA from 1 species
UGGCAGUUUUGUGAUCCUUCAGUACUCGGAUCAGUUUAUCCCUCUCUUCUGCUAUGAGUUGUGAUGAUAUGAUGAUCGGUAAUGUUUUAUCCUCUCCCAAAAAUGCAUAUUUCAAAUGUUCAGUAAUCGGUUUAAGCUCCAAUUUUAGGUGCCUAAAUCAUAGAAGGAAGAGCUUUUUUCGUUAGAAGGAGGAAGAGAAAUAAAAUAGGAAGAAGACUUACCACGAAUUGGUGAAAGAAACUCAAGGGCUGCCAUUGUUUGGAUUAAUUCUUCUUCAAUGUGCUAAGAAUAAUUAAGCUUUCCAUGUGUAAUGCUAUGCUCUAACACCUUCUCUAAAUUAUCUUGUCCCACACCUUCAUUAAAACAAUCUUGCACAAAAUAGUCAAAUGC